CCUACGGGAGGCAGCAGUAAGGAAUAUUGGACAAUGGACGCAAGUCUGAUCCAGCCAUGCCGCGUGAAGGAUUAAGGCCCUCUGGGUUGUAAACUUCUUUUAUAGGGGACGAAAAAAGGGCUUUCUAGCUCGACUGACGGUACCCUAUGAAUAAGCACCGGCUAACUCCGUGCCAGCAGCCGCGGUAAUACGGAGGGUGCAAGCGUUAUCCGGAUUCACUGGGUUUAAAGGGUGCGUAGGCGGGCAUUUAAGUCAGUGGUGAAAUCUUCGAGCUCAACUCGGAAACUGCCAUUGAUACUAUUUGUCUUGAAUAUUGUGGAGGUGAGCGGAAUAUGUCAUGUAGCGGUGAAAUGCUUAGAUAUGACAUAGAACACCGAUUGCGAAGGCAGCUCGCUACACAAAUAUUGACGCUGAGGCACGAAAGCGUGGGGAUCAAACAGGAUUAGAUACCCUGGUAGUCCACGCCCUAAACUAUGGAUACUCGACAUUUGCGAUACACAGUAAGUGUCUGAGCGAAAGCAUUAAGUAUCCCACCUGGGAAGUACGACCGCAAGGUUGAAACGUCAAAGGAAUUGACGG
rnacentral:rRNA from 1 species